UACGGGGGGGGGCAAGCGUUGUUCGGAAUUACUGGGCGUAAAGGGCGCGUAGGCGGCCUGCUAAGUCGGACGUGAAAUCCCUCGGCUCAACCGGGGAACUGCGUCCGAUACUGGUGGGCUCGAAUCCGGGAGAGGGAUGUGGAAUUCCAGGUGUAGCGGUGAAAUGCGUAGAUAUCUGGAGGAACACCGGUGGCGAAGGCGGCAUCCUGGACCGGUAUUGACGCUGAUGCGCGAAAGCCAGGGGAGCAAACAGG
rnacentral:rRNA from 1 species